rnacentral:misc_RNA from 1 species
GGGGCUUGCUGCCGAGAGGUGGCUCCCCUCAAAUGCAUCGGUUGGGCCUGUGGGUCGAACUCGAUUGGGCGUUGUAUUAUCCUCGCUUUAACGAGAUGUUCCCCUUUUUGCGCCCCUCCCCCGACCUGCCUUAUGAGUGGCGGUCAAGCAAACUUUGAAAUUCUGACCUCAAAUCAGGUAGGACUACCCGCUGAACUUAA